rnacentral:rRNA from 1 species
UACGAAGGGGGCUAGCGUUGCUCGGAAUCACUGGGCGUAAAGCGCACGUAGGCGGGUCGUUAAGUCGAGGGUGAAAUCCUGGAGCUCAACUCCAGAACUGCCUUCGAUACUGGCGACCUAGAGUCCGGAAGAGGUGAGUGGAACUCCUAGUGUAGAGGUGGAAUUCGUAGAUAUUAGGAAGAACACCAGUGGCGAAGGCGGCUCACUGGUCCGGUACUGACGCUGAGGUGCGAAAGCGUGGGGAGCAAACAGG